CAGACGUAAUUAACCAGGUUUGAUUAACAAAGAAAGAAUAAAAGCGCUGCAGGCCAUCUCACAGCUGCCCGCUAGGUGGCGCCAUGUCACAGGAUCCGAAGUGCCCCCUCCUCCGGGUCCUGACGCGGGCCUCCGCCUCCAUCCUGCUUCCCGAGGUGCGGACCGGAAGGCGAGGACCCGUCUCUCCUGCGCCUGCUCAGUUCACUAAACAUUUCUGUCUCUUGACAACUAGGGAUAUGCUGACUGCCUGCUCCUCACAAGAUUAUGACAAAUCAUAGCAGUUUAAAUUCACAGACUUUCUUCUUCCCUACACUUUCCUGCUUCUCUAAACUCAAAAAUACAAUAUAUGAGUUCAACAGCAGACUAGAGGAAGCAGAAGAAAAGAUCCAUGAACUCAAAGACAGGACACGGGAACCCAUCCAUCCAGAGCAGCAAAAAGAAAAGAAGAAUGAAACAGAGUGAAGAUAGCUUAAGGAACUUACAGGACAACAUCAAGCAGAGCAAUAUUUGCAUUCUAGGGGUCUUAGAGGAGAAUAGAGAGAGAAAGGAGUAGAAAACUUAUUUGAAGAAAUAAUGGCUGAAAACUUUGCUAACCUGGGGGAGGAAAGAGACAUCCAGAUCCAGAAGUCCAGAGAGUCCCAAAUAAGAUGAACCCAGAGAGACCCACACCAAGACACAUUACAACUAAAGUGUCAAAAGUUUAAAGACAAGAAGAGAAUCUUAAAAGCAGCAAGAGAAAAAUAACCUGGUAUUACAAGGGAACCCCCAUAAGACUAAUAGCAGAUUUUUCAGCAGAAACUUUGCAGGCCAGAAGGGAGUGGCAUGAUAUAUUCAAAGUGUUGGGGGAAAAAAACACUAACAACCAAGAAUGAUCUACCAGCAAAGUUGUCCUUCAGAAAUGAAGGGGAAAUAAAGAGUUUUCCAGACAAGAAAAUGCUAAAGGAUUUCAUCACCACUAGAACAACUUUAUAAGAACUGUUAAAGGGACUUCUUUAAGCUGAAAUAAAAGUGUUAGUGUUAGCUUCAAAAAUAUAAUCAAUACACUAAGAAAGGAGAGAACACAAAGUCAUGUGGUAUGCUCAAUUAAUACAAGAGAAGGUGAUAAAAGAGAGGAAGACAAAAAAGAAACAUAGAUCAAUUGCAAAAAGUAGACAAUACAGGGGCUGGCCCGCUGGUGCAGUGGUUAAGUUCGCACGUUCUGUUUCAGCAGCCAGGGUUUGCCAGUUCGGAUCCUGGGUGCAGACCUACACAUCACUUAUCAAGCCAUGCUGUGACAGGUGUCCCACAUAUAAAGUAGAGGAAGAUGGGCAUAGAUGUUAGCUCAGGGCCAAUCUUCUUCAGCAAAAAGAGGAUUGGCAGCAGAUGUUAGCUCAGGGCUAAUCUUCCUCUGGGAAAAAUAAAAGUAGAAAACACAACACACAUGGUAGAUAUUAAUCCAAC
rnacentral:lncRNA from 1 species